rnacentral:rRNA from 1 species
AUAUCGCGAGGUGCCAGCAGCCGCGGUAAUACGUAGGGGGCAAGCGUUGUCCGGAAUUAUUGGGCGUAAAGCGCGCGCAGGCGGUCAUUUAAGUUUGGUGUUUAAUCCCGGGGCUCAACCCCGGGUCGCAUCGAAAACUGGGUGACUUGAGUGCGGGAGAGGAAAGUGGAAUUCCACGUGUAGCGGUGAAAUGCGUAGAUAUGUGGAGGAACACCAGUGGCGAAGGCGACUUUCUGGACCGUAACUGACGCUGAGGCGCGAAAGCGUGGGGAGCAAACAGGAUUAGAUACCCUGGUAGUCCACGCCGUAAACGAUGAGUGCUAGGUGUCGGGGGGUUUCAAUACUCACGGUGCCGAAGUUAACACAGUAAGCACUCCGCCUGGGGAGUACGCUCGCAAGAGUGAAACUCAAAUGAAUUGACGGG